AGAAAAAUUUUGGGGGUUCAUUUCUUCUGGGUUAUUCACACAGACUCUAUAAGAAAGCAUCACUGAAAACAGCAUGCCCAGGCUUUGGACUUACCCCAGACUUGAGGUCAAAUCUUAAAGGACCUUUAAAUUUCUUAUCUGUAAAAUGGGGUAAUGUUACCUUCCUCCUGGGUUAUUUUAUGAUUAUAAAUAUGUAAGAGAUCUGACACUUUGACCAUUAGUGGAAACCCAGCAAAUGAAAGCUGACAUCAUUAUCACCAUCAUUUAUUUCCCACAUCACCACCUUCAUCAUCAUCAAGGAUGGGAGGGAAAAGAGCCCUGGGUUGGGAGCUGGGGAAGCAGAAUGGGUGUUGUGGGCAGAGCUCAGUUUGCAUGGCUGGCUUCCUUGGAAUUGGAUUUGCAAGCUUCUGUUUUGCAUUGCAGCAGAGUUUUGCAUGUUAUCCCUUUAUUACAAUCCCAGAGACUCCUUCUUAUACUCGCAAUCACCACCUCUCUCUAGUUACCCUCAACCCUUCUGAACAAUCGCUCUCUGCCUUGUGAACACCUCCCAUGGGCUGAGUGGACACUGCAGAGGACACAGAGAUGCAUGAGACAUGGUUCCAUCCUUCAAGGACUUCAAUUUUCACCAGGCAAAUGAGUCAAAGUGGGUGUGAACACAAGUUCCAUGGGCUGCUGGUCCUGAAGAUGGUGAAGGAAUGCGGAGGCGAUGAGAGUCGAGCUAACAUUGAUUGAAAAUCUACAACUGUCAACUUACCUGAUCGUCAGACCAGUCCUUAGGUAGUUGCAUUUUCAGCUGUGGAAAAGGAACCUCAGAGGGAUUAAGUAGUGUGCCCAGCUUCACACAGUUGGGAAGUGGUUACAAAAUUCUUUUGAUAGCAUGCAGUAUCCUCUGGCCUUUAGUCACACUGGCUGCAGUAGCACAUGCAUCAACAGGCUUGGUCAGUCCCACCAGUGAGGAGUCCACCGCGUUCAGUCCAGUCUUCUUCAGAGCUGUGUGGACUUGGGCACUUACCCAUCCUUGCCUGGAGGGAUAAACUUACAAACUCUUUGCAAGUUUCCAUGAGGUGAAGUUCACAGUGCACAUAGUAGGUCUUAGAAUGUGUGUCUGGGGCCCUGCCAACCCAUCUAUUGAACUUCUGCCACCACUUCCCAGGUGACAAUGCAGACUUCACUUGUCCAAAGCUUGAGCCUUGGGGAAGUCUUUUCUCGUAGCCAGCAGAAGUCUCUCUCUGGGGGCUCCUUCCUGCUGGUGCUGGUCAUAUCCCAGGGGCCAUACAGAUGAAUUGGAGAAGGGAAUGGCAACCCACUCCAGUAUUCUUGCCUGGAGAAUCCCAUGGGCAGAGGAGCUGGCAGGCUACAGUCCACGGGGUCACAAGAGUCAGACACGACUUAGCGACUAAACGGCAACCACCACCACACAGAUGAAUGUCCCUUCUUCCUCUGGCAGUCUGUGCCUCUUCUCCAGGGAGCAUGCUCUCAGUGCCAGCUACCUAAGAGGUCUGCAGAAUGUGGUGUGCAUUCAUCUCCUUACCCCAGACAUCUCUUUGCAUUGGCUCCCAUGUGUCCAGGUCCCUCGUCAGAGUCAGACAAGAGCUAAACCCUGUUCUCCAAGCAUGGCAUGAUGGGAGGGGAGAAAACAGGUUCUCCCAGAUUUGGAUCUCCUGUUGAGGACCACAGAGGAUUUCAUGGUGGCCUCAUCACCCUGUUGCUGGUGUGAAGGAGGAGCACGUGACCUCAGUCAAUCCAAUGGGAGUCAGUUUUGGAACUUAAGCCAUAAAGACUGGGAAAGUGGCUCUCCCUUGGUUGCCAUCCUUGCUGCAGCAUGGACAUGGUCAUGGUCAGCUGAGAAGGAAGCCCAUAGAGAAGGAAACAGUCAAGGGAAGGAGAGAAAAUCCGAUGCCAUCAUCAAGUCCCUCAUCUGGCUAUACCAAAGCCAAAUAAACAUCCCAAACCUCCCAAUUAUGUAAGCAAAUAAAUGCUAUUUCAUGCUUAAGCC